rnacentral:rRNA from 1 species
AAGCUGCGAUAAGCCGCGGGGAGUUGCAAAUAAACAUUGAUCCGCGGAUUUCUGAAUGGGGAAACCCACACGGAGUCAUGUCCGUGUAACAUACACUGAAUUCAUAGGUGUAUGUAGGGAACUGCCUGAACUGAAACAUCUAAGUAGGGCAAGGAAGAGAAAUCAACCGAGAUUCCGCUAGUAGUGGCGAGCGAACGCGGAAGAGGCCAAACCAGCGGUAGAAAUACCGUUGGGGUUACGGACUAGUACAAGUAUCGCAGAGUCUAGCUGAAGUGUGUGGGAAAGCACGCCGAAGAAUGUGAGAGCCAUGUAAGCGAAAGACGAAGCGAGCGACUAGAAUCCAGAGUACGGCUGGGCACGUGAAACCCGGUCGGAAGUCGGGGGGACCACCCUCCAAGCCUAAAUACUACCCAGUGACCGAUAGCGUAUAGUACUGUGAAGGAAAGGUGAAAAGAACCCCGGGAGGGGAGUGAAAUAGAACCUGAAACCGCAUGCAUACAAACAGUAGGAGCCUCACCAGAGGUGACUGCGUACCUUUUGCAUAAUGGGUCAGCGACUUACAUUCUGUGGCGAGCUUAACCGAAUAGGGGAGGCGCAGCGAAAGCGAGUUCGAAAUGAGCGUCCAGUCGCAGGGUGUAGACCCGAAACCAGAUGAGCUAUCCAUGGCCAGGUUGAAGGUGUGGUAACACACACUGGAGGACCGAACCGACUAGUGUUGCAAAAUUAGCGGAUGAGCUGUGGAUAGGGGUGAAAGGCCAAACAAAUCUGGAGAUAGCUGGUUCUCCCCGAAAACUAUUGAGGUAGUGCCUCGUGUGUCGCUCCAGGGGGUAGAGCACUGUUUUGGCUAGGGGGACAUGGAGUCUUACCAAACCAAGGCAAACUCCGAAUACCUGGAAGCGUGAGCACGGGAGACAGAGCACCGGGUGCUAACGUCCGGACUCAAAAGGGAAACAACCCAGACCGCCGGCUAAGGUCCCCAAUAACAGCUAAGUGGAAAACGAAGUGGAAAGGCCGUGACAACCAGGAAGUUGGCUUAGAAGCAGCCAUCCUUCAAAGAAAGCGUAAUAGCUCACUGGUCGAGUCCUUCUGCGCGGAAGAUGUAACGGGGCUAAGCUGUUAACCGAAGCCGCGGAUGCACUGAUUAUUCAGUGCGUGGUAGGGGAGCGUUCUGUAAGUCUGCGAAGGCGGUUCGAGAGGACUGCUGGAGAUAUCAGAAGUGCGAAUGCUGACAUGAGUAACGUUAAAGCAGGUGAAAAGCCUGCUCGCCGUAAGCCCAAGGAUUCCUGCUCUACGUUCAUCGGAGCAGGGUGAGUCGGCUCCUAAGGUCAGGCCGAAAGGCGUAGCCGAUGGGAAUCAGGUUAAUAUUCCUGAACCUGCGUCAGAUGCGAUGGGGGGACGGAGCAUGAAAGAUCAUCCGGGUGUUGGAUGUCCCGGUUGACGAGCGUAGGAGGUCUGCAGGCAAAUCCGCAGACGCAUCUCCAAGGCGAAGUCACGUGCCGCCACGGCGGCGAAGUGAUCGGAAGUGCUUCCAAGAAAAGCCUCUAAGCACCAGUCUGACGCGGACCGUACCGCAAACCGACACUGGUGGGCGAGCUGAAUAUGCUCAGGCGCUUGAGAGAACUCGGGAGAAGGAACUCGGCAAAUUGACACCGUAACUUCGGAAGAAGGUGUGCCGUAGUACCGUGAGAGGAGAGACACCUUGAGCGGGAAUCGGUCUCAGAGAAUAGGUGGCUGCGACUGUUUAUUAAAAACACAGCACUCUGCAAAGUCGAAAGACGACGUAUAGGGUGUGAUGCCUGCCCGGUGCUGGAAGAUUAAUUGAUGGGGUGAGAGCCCUUGAUCGAAGUCCCAGUAAACGGCGGCCGUAACUAUAACGGUCCUAAGGUAGCGAAAUUCCUUGUC